AGGUUGACCUCGGAUCAGGUAGGGAUACCCCGCUGAACUUAAAGCAUAUUCAAUAAGUCGGAGGA
rnacentral:rRNA from 1 species